rnacentral:lncRNA from 1 species
GACUUUCUCGACUCGUCGUCAGCCGGGGCCGCAGCGCGGCCGGUGGGGACUGCGGGGCGGGCCGGAGUCCGUCCGAGGGCUCCCGCACCUCGGGCUGCGGGAACAUUAAAAUCUCCCCAGAUGCUCACUGCUCUGAUCAUUUCCCCUACAGCACCAGACAUGUUGGCAUCAUCUCUUAGUUGGGCCAUGUGGCCAGGGAACCCUUCAUGAAACCACCUCUGCAGUCCUGGAGAGUUGCUGUAGAAGAAGGAAAAGAGAGGAAGACAACACAACACAGGAGGGGAUAAGUACCUCUGGACACAAUGGAAGUAGUAGUUGUUGAGCAGAGGGAAAGGGAUAGGAGAAGGAUGUGGACUGCAGUGCUGCAGUGCCAGUGGACAUGAGAGAAAGAUCCCAUAGCCCUCUUGGUCUUGGUUGGAACAGGAGGAAAAUGAAAACUGGACAUCCAUCUUAGGACUUAAUCCUACGGAGACCACAAGCUGGAAGAGGCACUCAAUACUAGCAUGGCUUCUGUGGCAUUUUGAUGAGUAGUAUGGGCUCCACACUGAAAUAUUAAUAUCUUAUUGUUUUGAUGAUGAUGAUGAUGUUCAUUGGCCCAGGGCAAAAGGUAAAGGUUGUGUUAUAAAGCUGAUCUAUUCAAUAUCUGUGGAUGUUAACUCCACCCCAUCCCCUUAUUGAACAAUUACGAUGCCUAUAAAUAUUGUAUUGAGAAAGAAAAAAAAAA